UAGCUAGUUUUUACAAGAUUAAACCAAUGGUGUGUUCUUGUAUAUUUAUGUAGAGAGAUAACUGUUGAUUUUUUAUUUUUUUAAUUAUAUGGUAGUUAGGUUUUUUAUUAUCACCUUCCACAUCUUCUAUCUAUUUAUAAUGAAUGAUGUAUUUAUAUAGUUAUGCUAUACUUAGAUUAUUUUUUAAUUAUGUAACUUAGGUUUUUUCCUUUAAUCUCAAGCUUAACCAUAAACCCUAGCUAAUAAACCCUGGAUAAAUCAUUUGUAAACCCUUAGAUCAUAUGAAUGGUGGCUUGCUUGUGACAUGAAAGAUUACCAGAAAGAAAGCUAUGCUCCAUUCUUCAAACUGCUAGAGCUGUAAGUCAAGCUAUGCAUGCAUACUUAAGCAUAGUUAGAAUUUGACAAUAACAUGGUGAUUCUAUUUGAGAUCAUAGGGCAUACAGGUU
rnacentral:lncRNA from 1 species